rnacentral:SRP_RNA from 1 species
AAUGGGUCUCUCUGAUGGCGAGCGCUGUGAACCGGGUCAGGUCCGGAAGGAAGCAGCCGCAGCAGUUGCAUCGGGUGUCAGAACCGGGCGCAUUUGA